CGCCUGGAGCCCGGGCCCGGGCCGAUCCCAGCUCGCAGCGCCCGCCCGCCCGCGCGGUGGGGGAGGGGGUCCCCGAGCCCGGCAGCUCCCGCAGUCAGGUCCCCGACACCUCCGCCUCGCCGCCCCCGGCCACCCUCCCCUCCACCCCUGCCGCCCGCGGGCCGCCGGGCCCGGGUCACCGCCCGGGCUCGGUCUGUCGGUACCUUCAUGAAGGUCUCUACCGCGCCUUUGGCCGUGUCCAGGUCUCUUUCACUCAUGUUUCUAUUGGUUCUGCUUCUCUGGAGGACCCUGCCUAACACACCAGUACAUAGCAAGCACUGAAUGUUUAAUGUGUGUAUGUGAAAUUACAGAAGCAAUUACAGAGAAAUUCAGAGCUCCAAGCUUCUUCCCUCAAGGCCCCUGUAUGCCCGUUGAACUCGUCAUUAUUAUCCUGUUAAUUAAUUCAAUACUAUAUAAACCAAUGGAAUGUAAACAAGUCACUGAAGAAAUUGCUGUCAAAUAAGAUGCAAGCAAGAAAACUGCAAAAGCCUAGAAAACGGAAAAAUCUACAAGUGUUUUGCAUUUCAAAAGAUUGACAAAUGAAAUGUAGUUUCGGUUAAGAUUAAAAGUGUAAGGUCAAGCUGAGCGAACUCCCGCCGCCGCAAGCCACCAGGAACUCUGUUAUUGAAGAUCACCAUAUUCCUUCACACAAAGGGCCUGGAAAGUGCUAGUAACACCCUGUUCCUCAUAACUAUCUCUAACCCUCUCUCAAGGAAAGGGCAAAAGUUCACUAAAAAUGGCUGGCAUCAUAGAUUUUUUUUUUUGCUGAAAUAAAACUGUAUACUCACAUGAUAGAUAAACUGUGUUUCACAGUAUGUCCUGCCUUCUUCUCUCAGGUGUAAAAAUAUUUCAAGGCAAUUUCUAUAAACCAGAAUUCGAGAAACUACCAAAACAUUUUUUAUGAGUUGCUUUCAUUUUAUCCGACUUUUAAUAUGUAUUCCCACACUUGGCUAUACCAGAGAGUGUAGGUUUGUCUAUCAUUUCAUAGUCAUCAAAGGGAAGUUCUUAUUUUAAACCUCUACACCAUCAUUAAAUAGUUCUAAUAAUAAAAGGCCUAAAUUUUAAGCCCUCGGGGACAUCAAAGUAUCUCAUUUACUAUGUUGUCCCAGCUCUGCCAGCAGUUGCAAAACAGAAAAUGGAAGAGGCAAAAGAGGGCUCAGGCAUGAAGACGAAUCUUCAGGGUUAGAUGUGGCUGAUAAUCUCAGAGCAUAACCAAUAUGUGGUUCUAAGAUUCAGCACACGAGGAGGUGAGUGGAGAAAAUGAGGACUGGAGACUUAGACUUCAGAGACCACUGUAGUGCAUGAGGAACGGCUUGUCUGGCCCUGGAAGCCGCUGGGAUGAUGGCUGAUUGAGCGCUUUGCAUGUCUCUGCCCGGUCAUGAUCUUACAGUUCGGUUCGUGAGACUGAGUGCUGCAU